rnacentral:SRP_RNA from 1 species
GCCAGGUGUGGUGGCGCACGCCUGUAUUCCCAGCUACUUGAGAGGCUGAGGCAGGAGAAUCACUUGAACCCAGGAGACAGAGGUUACAGUGAGCUGAGAUCGUGCCACUGUAUUCCAGCCUGGGAGACAGAGUGAGACCCUGUCUCAA